UACGGAGGGUGCAAGCGUUACCCGGAAUCACUGGGCGUAAAGGGCGUGUAGGCGGUGAUUUAAGUCUGGUUUUAAAGACUGCGGCUCAACCGCAGGGAUGGACUGGAUACUGGAUCACUUGACCUCUGGAGAGGAAACCGGAAUUCCUGGUGUAGCGGUGGAAUGCGUAGAUACCAGGAGGAACACCAAUGGCGAAGGCAGGUUUCUGGACAGAAGGUGACGCUGAGGCG
rnacentral:rRNA from 1 species